rnacentral:lncRNA from 1 species
GGCUGCUGCUGCCAAGUGAAUUCUGAAUAAGCUGCAUUCCAUUUCAUUAAAACAAUUACCUGAGCCCCAGCCAAGAGUUACAUAAAGCUUCCUCCCAGCACCACCCCUCCCCCAUAAAACACAUCCCACUGCGUCUCGCAUGGCCAAGCAAGGCCGACACACGGCUCUGAGACCUCACAAAGACCCCGUGAUCCCCUCCAAGCCCCAGCCUCUGCCUGAGACUUUGGCUGCUGGCAGACAGGAGGUGCAAAGAAGACCCUCGCGUGUUGCCCUCGUCCACCAAGGGCCUCCUGCUGGCCUACAGCAUUUCUAGUUGGCACCAGGGCCCUCAGCUUGGCCCAACUUCUUCCCCAAAGAGAUGGGAGGCCCAAGUGGCCCAGCUUAUUGGACAAUGGGGACACGGGGACUGGAAAUUCCAGGGGGAGAAGCCCAAACGCUGCAGGACUAGAUGGGCCAGAUCUGAGGUGCGACAAGAACCUGGACCACUGGGACCCUGCUGCCCACAGAUUAAUGGUGUGCAUGCGGCCACAGACACUGUCUCUGGACUUGCAACAAGGUAAAGGCUCAAGGGAAGAUUCAGAGGUCAGAAACUCCAUGCACAAUGAAUAAACGACGAAGUGGAGUGCACAGAGCCUCAGCGGUAAUGUUGGCUUAUCAGCCCCACCCAGCCCCUCCAAUGAAUGGCCAUUAGAGAAGCUAAAAGAAGGGACUAUUGAGAUGUUCCCUGAAGAGACCUUGGCCCCAUGAUGAUGGAGCAGUGACACCCACAGCCCAAGUCUGUCUUUCCACUCCAAGCUGUGCAUAUCAGAAAGGGCAUCUGCUUAGGAAUCAAACACACCAGGGGCUGAAUCCCAGCUCCGCUCCUUACUAGCAUUUAGCUGACAAAGCACCCAUCAGCAGGGUACCAUCACUCCACAGGCAAACGCUGCCUCUGCCACAGGGCCAGCAGCUGGGUGCCCUGACCCUGGCCCAACACACAGAGGCACCACAGACAGUUGAGCCGAAAGUCCAGACUUUCCAUGGAAACAGAGAGGCUUCGUAGCCCGGAAUGCCCCAGGCAACUCCCCUGCCCCCCAGCACAAUACCAAAGGACAAUGAGGUACUGUUUUGCAAAGGGUCAAGACUGCUGAGAAGCUGAAAGAAGACCUGUCCAGAUUCUAGCAGUAACUGGGCAUUGCCAACAUCUGGCUGCUCCCCUUGCUAGUGGAUGGGGAAGGCAAGCUAUUAAGUCCUGGCCGGGACCCACUGUCUGCCACAGAAGUCACUUCUAGGGAUGGCCCCCAGGGCAGAAGUCUUAGGGUAACUAUCAGUUACUCAGCAAGCCUUGUGGCUCAUCUCCUAGUUAGUCCCCAGCCCCUAC